rnacentral:rRNA from 1 species
CGACGCAACGCCGCGUGGAGGAUGAAGACCUUCGGGUCGUAAACUCCUUUCGACCGAGAUGAAUACUCACUAACCUAAUACGUUGGUGAGCUGACAGUAUCGAGGGAAGAAGCCCCGGCUAACUCCGUGCCAGCAGCCGCGGUAAUACGGGGGGGCAAGCGUUGUUCGGAAUUACUGGGCGUAAAGGGUUCGUAGGUGGCCUGCUAAGUCAGACGUGAAAUCCCUCAGCUUAACUGGGGAACUGCGUCUGAGACUGGCGGGCUUGAGUGCAGGAGAGGAACGCGGAAUUCCAGGUGUAGCGGUGAAAUGCGUAGAUAUCUGGAGGAACACCGGUGGCGAAGGCGGCGUUCUGGACUGCUACUGACACUGAGGAACGAAAGCCAGGGGAGCAAACGGGAUUAGAUACCCCGGUAGUCCUGGCCCUAAACGAUGAAUGCUUGGUGUGGCGGGUAUCGAUCCCUGCCGUGCCGUAGUUAACGCGUUAAGCAUUCCGCCUGGGGAGUACGGUCGCAAGGCUG